UUCCUCCUCUCUCUUUUUGCCCCAUAUUUUUCUCUCUUCCUCCUCUCUCUCUCUCACGCGUUUCUCUACCAAACGAAACCGAAGGCGAUUUGCCUCAAAUCAGAAGCAAUCGGAGGAGUCUCCGAUGUUUAUGACCUCCAGCGGAAUAUCGUGAAGAAGAGAGGUCUCGAUUCCAAUUUCAUCAUUGAUUCCGCUGGAACCAUUGAUUAUCAUGAGGUUGGAACAUUUAGUGUUGAACGUAUUGAGAUGGAGGUUACGAGCCAUGACACCGUGCUCUUACGUGAGAUACUUCAUGUGUAAGAUCAAUGGUUAUGAUCAAGAACCACACAGCAGAUUGAUAUCCAGAUCACUACAAGUGAUAGCCAGCACAACCUUAGUUUUCUAAACCUCAGUUUUGCUUUUGGGUUAUGGACUUUUGGGUUAGAAAUGAUUGAUGGUGGUUGUGAAAAAGAUAGUUGAUGUAUAGGCAAUACACUAAUGCACACAUUGUCUAUUUAUAUCCCCUAUUUGAAUCCC